GGGGGUGUACUGGCUUCGAGCAGGGCGGUUAUCGCCUGGGAGAAGCGGGCCGAGAUCUCCGGAGUCUCGUAAAACGCCGGAACAACACAAGCGCCAACGAAGAGUACGCGCUCGCUGCCUAGCCAAUAGGUAGCUGUCCGUCCGGGAGGGCCUGCGGCCCGGACAGGGCAUCGCAAGCAGGCCUCACCGAGGAGGUUCCGUCCGGGGGCCUCCGAGGGACAUCUCACCCGGGCUGGCCGAGGGCCCCUCCGCCGGUGGGAGGCCCGAGGCGAGAUCUCCCCACCGGAUGCGCCCGGAGAAGAUCCAGACGGUCGCCCUGUGACGCGGGUUCGAUUCCCGCCACCUCCACGA
rnacentral:tmRNA from 1 species